GGAUGCGAGGGCGAUCUUGGCUGUGACAUGUCACCCCAUUGAUCACAAGGGUUGAUUAGGCAGAUCUGGCUGGCUAGGCAGGUGUCCCCUUCCUCCCUCACUGCUCCUGGUGCAUCCCUCCCAAAGCUGCACUCUCGGUUGAAGAGGACGACCACCCUCAAUAGAGGAGGACUAUUUCCUAGGCCAAGGUUAUAUGAUUAACUGUUCUGUUCUACUAGAACCUCCACGCAAGCUCUCAAGAGAAGGAUAUUCCUAAAUCUGCACAUAAUAUCGCAUGACUCCAGC
rnacentral:snRNA from 1 species